GUGAGGAAUUUUGCGCAAUGGGGGCAACCCUGACGCAGCGACGCCGCGUGGAGGACGAAGUCUUUCGGGAUGUAAACUCCUGUCAGUGGGGACGAUAAUGACGGUACCCACAGAGGAAGCACCGGCUAACUCCGUGCCAGCAGCCGCGGUAAGACGGAGGGUGCAAGCGUUGUUCGGAAUUACUGGGCGUAAAGCGUACGUAGGCGGCAAGUUAAGUUCAAUGUUAAAGCCCACGGCUCAACCGAGGAGAUGCAUUGAAUACUGGCUAGCUAGAGGGUGUUAGAGGAAGACGGAAUUCCCAGUGUAGCGGUGAAAUGCGUAGAUAUUGGGAGGAACAUCGGUAGCGAAAGCGGUCUUCUGGGACACACCUGACGCUGAGGUACGAAAGCGUGGGGAGCAAACGGGAUUAGAUACCCCUGUAGUCC
rnacentral:rRNA from 1 species